UCUUCCUCCCCGCCUCUCUCCUUCUCCCUCUCGUUUGAAGAAGAAGUUAAGAACGACUGGAGUAAGGAUAAAUGCGCGGCGAGAGAGUCGAACGAAUCAGUUCAGUUCGAGUGAGUUUCUCGAUAAAGUUCUUCAAGGCUGCUUUUGGACAAGCUUGUAACAGAAUCGUCCGUUGGGCACCCAUAUAUCCGCCGGUAACCGUCACCGGCCUUCCGUCGCCGGUCAUCAACGAACAUACGCGCUGAGAGAGAGCUCGAACGGAGGGCAUCGAUGGAACGGACUCGGGAGGUUUUUGGGCGUUUAGGAGUUCACUCUCUCGGGAGCUCUGUUCGCCUCUGUUCUCAGUUCAUCACCUUCGAAGCAGCUCUGUUCGGGUUCAAUCCUCCUUCGCAAGCUCCGAUUCCUGGCGUCCGUUGCUCGUCGGACGUCCUCCUUCUGGUAUCACCGCCGAUCGUAGCUCCGUCUCCGACCAGAAGAGAGCCUAAGAUUGGUGUUAUUUGACUGAGGUCCAUGUGCGUUGGCAUCUGGUGAGAUGUAUCCGAAUUCCAUUGAUCAACACUGGCUUGUACCGUGCAGUGAGAAUACCAAGCAGGACCAAGCGUGGGAAUCGAAGCAGGAGAUCAUAUAUCGUGUUCAUGAUACCUUCUUGACGUGGGAUUUCAAUUACUUGCUCAAGAAAAUAAUCGAUUGCUGUUAACGGCAAACAUAAUAAGUGUAUACAGACAUGUUCUAUGGUAAUCAAAUUCUUUAUUGUUAUGUUGCUUAUAUAAUAGAGAAUAACUGAGCAAGCUAGUGUGACUGGAAUGUUGCAGGAUGCCACA